AGGUCAGUGCCUGCAGAGGGAUGAGAUAGGAGACACUUGUGCCUGUUUGUGUGAGAUAGGCAGUCUGUACUCACAGAGAAGACGCUGUCCUCUGAGGCUUAUUGCUGCUGAUUGUCAGCUCCUGACAAUGUACUGAGGUAUGCUCUAGGAGUCUGACGUGCAGCAAUAGAUAUCUAGCUUGCAGAUUGUUCCCAGAUGUUUUCCUGUAUAGCUCUAUACCUCGUUUGCAUGUGUUUUUAAGGAAUCAAAGGGCAUAAUUAAGGGAUCCACUGAUUCCAGAGCACUGUGAGUGAAUUCAUAUGUUCAGGUAUUAGCCUGGGCAUGUUGGUAAUCCGUAAUUCUGUCUCUAGGUACUUCUGCACUCGUUAGCUAUCAGGAAGAUGAGGGUUUUCCACAUGUGGAAAGGAGAACUUUGCAGAAAGAAGGAAACCUGGCCUAUAGAAGGAGGUGGAGGGUUUUUUGUUGUGGUUUUUUGUUGUUGUUGUUGUUCACUCAGGCUUGCAACAUUUGUGAGCUACAGCUGUAUAGCAGGUAGCAUUUGUAUCAUGCUAUUGGUGUCAGUGGGGACCCCUCUCGGGAUGGGAUGCCACGCAGACAGCAGAGGGAGCUCAUUUAUUGCUUGUGUAUGGACUGUGGCAAAAAGAAGGCAUUUAAAGAUAAACGCAUAAAAAUUCCUCCGAUGUCAAGACCUCCCCUUCUUCACCAAGCUCAAGCAGUUGUAUGGGAGAUUGUACUUUGGGAGUAUGUGAUCUGACAGCGUCUAUAAGAGUAAAUAGAGAAAAGUGUAUUUCAGUAAACAAAAAUACGUCGCUUGGCUGGCAGAUGUUAUUUAGCUUCCAACAGAUCCUUUUUGAAGUUGAUAAAUUUUAGGGAAGUCCGUAAGAGAAACAUUAAGCAGCAAGGCUCGUGAGCAGAGGCUGUUUGUUGACAAGUCUCAGCGUAUUCCUUCAUUGCCUUCAGCCAGAAAUCCUCCGAGCUGCAGCCCAGGCGAUGAGAAAGGCAGGGAUGUGACUCAGCUGGUCUCGCUGCUCCAGGCGGGAUUUCCCUGCUGGCCCAGGGGAGCAGGUGAGAUCGGUCUUGUCCCAGCGUCCCCCUGAAAGGACGAAGCGUUUCUGCCGGUUGCGCCCGUUCUGGCCGUCCGGCAGCACCGGGAAGUCUGGCACACCGCAACGGGGCGGGUUCCAGCGUGCUGCCUGCUCAUCCACACCCAUGGGGAAGCCCUUGGUGGGCACACCAGUCCCCACCAGGGAUGAAAGCCAGGGAGUCUGCUCCUUCCAGGUGUGAUGUUUUCGAGACAUGUCCUGGAAGAGAAAAGCAAAGCUGUCACUUCCGUGUCCGGGAUAUGAAAGGUCUUGAUGGAGGGGUGGAUAUCUACCAACAGCAGACCUGCAGAGGGCUAGGAGGCACCGGGCAGCCGCUUCAAGGCACGUGGGAGCAGGAGUGGAGAUGGACUCCAGGGAAAGCCCUCAUUGAGGAACCGGGACAGGAGUCACCCAGGGCAGAAGGAGCACCCAGAGAUGCAGCAGGUAACCAGGCCUGGGACACGGCGAGCCGCCACGGACCUGCAGACACAGGAGCCCUCCCUGGGCUGCCAGGGAGGGUGUGAUUACCGGGGAAUCGGUCUGAAGGUAAAGCUGGCAGCUGCCAGCCUGUCUGUCUGUGAUCUGAGGGCUCUCUCUGGGUGUCUCCAUGUGUUCCCACCUCCCAGCAAUGUCCACGCCUUCGGAGGUUUCCUUGAUCUCCUGGUUUGUAACCAGAGGGCUGCUGUGAAAAUUGUGGUGCUGGCCAGUGGCUGCGACCACAUCAUUCCUCCCCACGCUCCUCCCUGGCUCCCUUUCUCUCUGCCCCAUUUGCAGACCGCUCCUCUCCCCUUUCCAAGCCCUUCAUUUGCCACCUCUCCUCUCACCUCU